GGAGAUGUAUUCAGAAACUUUCUCAUUAUUCUUCAUGUUGAGAUUCUCAUAUUGCUUUCUCAAGGACUGAAGCUUCACCUUCUUCACUGAUGCGUCACCACCAUAAUAUCUAACCAGUGUGUCCCACGCAGCCUUUGCUGUCGUUGAAUCUGCAAUCUUCUCAAACACAUUUACAUCAACACAUUGAUGAAUGAAGAACAAUGCUUUUUUA
rnacentral:lncRNA from 1 species